GUUCAGAAUGAUGAUAUCCCAAGGAGCCUACGAACAACAAGGAACCGAUGGAACAAGCAAGAACACAGCUGUUUGUCACAUGUCAAUACGGAAAAGACAAUGACCUGUUCCAUGGUCUCGCUCAACAUGAUAUCAUUAGAGCGAAGCUCCUAAAUCGAGCAAUAAAUCAUCGGAUCGGUCGGAAGUAAAGUGAAGUAUGAGCGCGACUGCCCACGCUCUUUUCCACUCGUCUCUUCCUCGUCAACAAAUGUUUCGGAGACACGUCGUUAGGCGAUCGAUAAACAAAGUUUACGUAAGAACGCGAGAGAUGCGGAAAUGAGCACCUUGCGCGAAGACAUGAAGAGAAAGAGGGACGGCAAGAAAAAGAGAAACGGAAGUUGGUCGCGUUGAAUCCGGCAGCAACUAAGUACGUAGGAAUAUAUACCCUCUGCAUGAAGAGAGCUGGCAGUUUGUGCGAGGCGUUUGAUGUGACAUAUCACAUGACCGGAUGCGGGGGUAGGUAAAUUGGUCGGCAAUUGCUGACGCCACCAGAGCUGCAACCUAUCGGCCAGUCACUCGGUCGCUCAUCAACCUUGUUCACCUGUUGACGAUUCUUGUUACUGGAAUUCUCGCCUAUCUCGACCGAAAUCUUAGAAAUCGUCCGCAUCAACGUAAAAUGCGCUACGUCACCUCUCGCAAUUUCAGGGAACGCAUGAUGAAUCGUUCAUCGUGACGUUGAUGAAUCGACCUAUCAUUACAGUCAUUCUGUCCAAGAUUAUAUAAAUUUUUAACGCUGCCUGAGUGUAAUUAAUUCAUACGACAAUUCGUUAUGCAAUAAUUUCGAAAAAAAAAUCAGAGACUACAAGAGGUACAUUAAUUCCAGUAAUAAUUUAAUUUGCUAACUCGAUAAUGGUGUAGCGAAACGUGACAUGCAUACAAAUCAACGAGAUUUAUUUCCCACGUUUAUCGCAUUAAAUUAAAUCCCCGUGCAAAAGGGAGCUAAAUUCGGCUGUUGUAUUUCACGUCAGUUAAAUAAAUUUUGCGGAUGAUUAAUUGAAAGAACGGAAAUGUAAUGGCUGUAAUUCAUGCGGCCGUAGAUUGCACCGAAUAAAAACGUGCAAAUAUGGAGGAGGGUGGAUAGAACGAACAAAUAUACAAUGAACGUAAACGCGAUACCGUGUGAAGCACUGA